rnacentral:rRNA from 1 species
CAGUCGCCGCGGUAAUACGAAGGGGGCUAGCGUUGUUCGGAAUUACUGGGCGUAAAGGGCGCGUAGGCGGCCAUUCAAGUUAGAUGUGAAAGCCCUGGGCUCAACCUAGGAAUUGCAUUUGAUACUGUUUGGCUUGAGUUCGGGAGAGGUGAGUGGAAUUCCCAGUGUAGAGGUGAAAUUCGUAGAUAUUCGGAAGAACACCAGUGGCGAAGGCGGCUCACUGGCUCAUACUGGACGCUGAGGUGCGAAAGCGUGGGGAGCAAACAGGAUUAGAGACCCGUGUAGUCCCUGUCUCUUAUAC